GCAGACAGCCCCCUGUGACCUCCUGGGCAGAGCCCCUGGGACUGGACAGGUCUGAAGCAGUUCUGCACAAGGACAGAAGAAGCAGCCACCAAGUGCCAGUCUGCAGCUGAGCCUGGGCAGGUUCCGCUCCCUGAGCACCCAGCUGGGCACCUCAGCACAGCAGUGCCUUGGCAGUGCAUGGGCUGGGCAAGGAGGAGGCUUGCUAGGAUGGGCUGCUUUCUUCAGCGUUGUGUUAACUCUCUGGGGACAAAGGAAACAAAGGAAGGAAGAUGCUUGCAGGAGUGAUAAAACUGGAGGCUGAGUAAUAUCUCCUCUCUCUCUCUCUGCAGUGGUUCUUUCACAGAUCAAAAAUCAAUUA